rnacentral:rRNA from 1 species
UGGGGAAUUUUGGACAACGGGCGAAAGCCUGAUCCAGCCAUGCCGCGUGAGUGAAGAAGGCCUUCGGGUUGUAAAGCUCUUUUAGUCGGAAAGAAAGAGUUGCAAUGAAUAAUUGUGAUUUAUGACGGUACCGACAGAAAAAGCACCGGCUAACUACGUGCCAGCAGCCGCGGUAAUACGUAGGGUGCGAGCGUUAAUCGGAAUUACUGGGCGUAAAGGGUGCGCAGGCGGUCUUGCAAGUCAGAUGUGAAAGCCCCGGGCUUAACCUGGGAAUUGCGUUUGAAACUACAAGACUAGAGUGCAGCAGAGGGAGUGGAAUUCCAUGUGUAGCAGUGAAAUGCGUAGAGAUGUGGAAGAACACCGAUGGCGAAGGCAGCUCCCUGGGUUGACACUGACGCUCAUGCACGAAAGCGUGGGGAGCAAACA